rnacentral:rRNA from 1 species
AUUGAACGCUGGCGGCAGGCCUAACACAUGCAAGUCGAGCGGAUGAAGGGAGCUUGCUCAUGGAUUCAGCGGCGGACGGGUGAGUAAUGCCUAGGAAUCUGCCUGGUAGUGGGGGAUAACGUCCGGAAACGGGCGCUAAUACCGCAUACGUCCUGAGGGAGAAAGUGGGGGAUCUUCGGACCUCACGCUAUCAGAUGAGCCUAGGUCGGAUUAGCUAGUUGGUGGGGUAAAGGCCUACCAAGGCGACGAUCCGUAACUGGUCUGAGAGGAUGAUCAGUCACACUGGAACUGAGACACGGUCCAGACUCCUACGGGAGGCAGCAGUAGGGAAUAUUGGACAAUGGGCGAAAGCCUGAUCCAGCCAUGCCGCGUGUGUGAAGAAGGUCUUCGGAUUGUAAAGCACUUUAAGUUGGGAGGAAGGGCAGUAAGUUAAUACCUUGCUGUUUUGACGUUACCAACAGAAGAAGCACCGGCUAACUUCGUG